rnacentral:rRNA from 1 species
CAUGUCCUUUAGAUUAAAAUUUAAGGUUUGGUCUGCUCAAUGAGGUUUUAAAUUGCCGCAGUAUUUUAACUGUGCGAAGGUAGCAUAAUAAUUAGUUUCUUAAUUGGAAGCUGGAAUGAAUGAUUGGACGAGAAAAUUACUGUCUCUUGGGAAGGGUUUAUUUAAUUUUAUUAUUAAGUUAAAAAGCUUAAAUUUAAAUAAAAGACGAGAAGACCCUAUAGAGUUUAAUAUUUAAGGCUUAUUAAUUUUUAGUAAAUUUAUUUAGUUUUAAUUAUUUAGUUGGGGUGACUUAAAGAUUAAAUAAAUUCUUUAAAUAUUUAAUUAUUGAUAAAUAAUUUUUAAAUCUAGUUUUUUAAAUUUAAAAUAAAUUACCUUAGGGAUAACAGCGUAAUUUUUCUUUAAAGCUCUUAUUGAAAGAAGAUUUUGCGACCUCGAUGUUGGAUUAAAAUUAAUUUUUGGUGCAGCUACUAAAAAAUUGAGUCUGUUCGACUUUUAAAAUUUUACAUGAUCUGAGUUUAAACCGGUGUAAGCCAGGUUGGAUUCUAUCUUUAUUAUUUUUUUAUGUUAUAGUACGAAAGGACCUAAUAUAGAUUAUAGAAUAAUUA